rnacentral:rRNA from 1 species
GUUUGAUCAUGGCUCAGGAUGAACGCUGGCGGCGUGCCUAAUACAUGCAAGUCGAACGAACUUCCGUUAAUUGAUUAUGACGUGCUUGCACUGAAUGAGAUUUUAACACGAAGUGAGUGGCGGACGGGUGAGUAACACGUGGGUAACCUGCCCAGAAGCAGGGGAUAACACCUGGAAACAGAUGCUAAUACCGUAUAACAGAGAAAACCGCCUGGUUUUCUUUUAAAAGAUGGCUCUGCUAUCACUUCUGGAUGGACCCGCGGCGCAUUAGCUAGUUGGUGAGGUAACGGCUCACCAAGGCGAUGAUGCGUAGCCGACCUGAGAGGGUAAUCGGCCACAUUGGGACUGAGACACGGCCCAGACUCCUACGGGAGGCAGCAGUAGGGAAUCUUCCACAAUGGACGCAAGUCUGAUGGAGCAACGCCGCGUGAGUGAAGAAGGGUUUCGGCUCGUAAAGCUCUGUUGUUAAAGAAGAACGUGGGUGAGAGUAACUGUUCACCCAGUGACGGUAUUUAACCAGAAAGCCACGGCUAACUACGUGCCAGCAGCCGCGGUAAUACGUAGGUGGCAAGCGUUAUCCGGAUUUAUUGGGCGUAAAGCGAGCGCAGGCGGUCUUUUAAGUCUAAUGUGAAAGCCUUCGGCUCAACCGAAGAAGUGCAUUGGAAACUGGGAGACUUGAGUGCAGAAGAGGACAGUGGAACUCCAUGUGUAGCGGUGAAAUGCGUAGAUAUAUGGAAGAACACCAGUGGCGAAGGCGGCUGUCUGGUCUGUAACUGACGCUGAGGCUCGAAAGCAUGGGUAGCGAACAGGAUUAGAUACCCUGGUAGUCCAUGCCGUAAACGAUGAUUACUAAGUGUUGGAGGGUUUCCGCCCUUCAGUGCUGCAGCUAACGCAUUAAGUAAUCCGCCUGGGGAGUACGACCGCAAGGUUGAAACUCAAAAGAAUUGACGGGGGCCCGCACAAGCGGUGGAGCAUGUGGUUUAAUUCGAAGCUACGCGAAGAACCUUACCAGGUCUUGACAUCUUCUGCCAACCUAAGAGAUUAGGCGUUCCCUUCGGGGACAGAAUGACAGGUGGUGCAUGGUUGUCGUCAGCUCGUGUCGUGAGAUGUUGGGUUAAGUCCCGCAACGAGCGCAACCCUUAUUACUAGUUGCCAGCAUUCAGUUGGGCACUCUAGUGAGACUGCCGGUGAC